AUUUGGUCUUCUUUAGGGUCGUAUGUUUCGGUCUAAGUUGAAUUUCUUAAGUGAUUUUUCAUUGUAAUUAAAUCCCAUCUCAUUUAAAUUAUAUCGCCUUUAUUUUUGUUAUGUCGAAGGCUAAUCCUUAUUAUCAUUUUUUAUUGCAUGGGAAAUCUGCUCGAGUUCGCCAUGAACUCCCUCUUCCUCCAUUCGCAUCUCAUUUCGGCCAUGAAGGCCCAAAUUUCUUUAGUUUUCGAGUCGGCCGGCCCAUUAAAAAAUGACGAACAGGUUCCGAAGUUGAAAGAGGCAAUAAACCGAGAAAUUGAAGUUUGGGCCAAAGGCCCGCUNNNN
rnacentral:lncRNA from 1 species